rnacentral:rRNA from 1 species
GACGAACGCUGGCGGCGUGCUUAACACAUGCAAGUCGAGCGGUAAGGCCCUUUCGGGGGUACACGAGCGGCGAACGGGUGAGUAACACGUGGGUGACCUGCCUUUAGCUCUGGGAUAAGCCUGGGAAACUGGGUCUAAUACCGGAUAUGACUCCGCGGUGCAUGCUGUGGGGUGGAAAGCCUUGUGCGGCUGGAGAUGGGCCCGCGGCCUAUCAGCUUGUUGGUGGGGUGANGGCCUACCAAGGCGACGACGGGUAGCCGGCCUGAGAGGGCGACCGGCCACACUGGGACUGAGACACGGCCCAGACUCCUACGGGAGGCAGCAGUGGGGAAUCUUGCGCAAUGGGCGAAAGCCUGACGCAGCGACGCCGCGUGAGGGAUGACGGCCUCGGUU